rnacentral:rRNA from 1 species
GAUGAACGCUGGCGGCGUGCCUAAUACAUGCAAGUCGAGCGAACAGACGAGGAGCUUGCUCCUUCGACGUUAGCGGCGGACGGGUGAGUAACACGUAGGUAACCUACCUAUAAGACUGGGAUAACUUCGGGAAACCGGAGCUAAUACCGGAUAAUAUUUCGAACCGCAUGGUUCGAUAGUGAAAGAUGGCUUUGCUAUCACCUAUAGAUGGACCUGCGCCGUAUUAGCUAGUUGGUAAGGUAACGGCUUACCAAGGCAACGAUACGUAGCCGACCUGAGAGGGUGAUCGGCCACACUGGAACUGAGACACGGUCCAGACUCCUACGGGAGGCAGCAGUAGGGAAUCUUCCGCAAUGGGCGAAAGCCUGACGGAGCAACGCCGCGUGAGUGAUGAAGGUCUUCGGAUCGUAAAACUCUGUUAUUAGGGAAGAACAAACGCGUAAGUAACUGUGCACGUCUUGACGGUACCUAAUCAGAAAGCCACGGCUAACUACGUG